rnacentral:rRNA from 1 species
GAUCAUGGCUCAGGGUGAACGCUAGCUACAGGCUUAACACAUGCAAGUCGAGGGGAAACGACAUCGAAAGCUUGCUUUUGAUUGGCGUCGACCGGCGCACUGGUGAGUAACGCGUAUCCAACCUGCCCAUCACUUGGGAAUAACCUUGCGAAAGUAAGACUAAUACCCAAUGAUAUCCCACGAAGGCAUCCGAAUGGGAUUAAAGAUUUAUCGGUGAUGGAUGGGGAUGCGUUUGAUUAG